AGAAUCAACGCUGGCGGCGUGCCUCAGACAUGCAAGUCGAACGCGAAAGGCUCCUUCGGGGGCCGAGUAGAGUGGCGCACGGGUGAGUAACACGUAGGUAAUUUGCCUUUGGGUGGGGAAUAACUCAGGGAAACUUGAGCUAAUACCGCAUAAUGCAGCGGCUCGACAUCGAGACAGUUGUUAAAGCGGGGGAUCGCAAGACCUCGCGCCUGAAGAGAAGCCUGCGGCAGAUUAGCUAGUUGGUAGGGUAAUGGCCUACCGAAGGCGACGAUC
rnacentral:rRNA from 1 species